rnacentral:snRNA from 1 species
ACUUAAAAAUUAUUGAGUUCCCAGUACAAAGGAGACUAGCAUGGCCCCUGCACAGAGAUGACAUACAACUUUAUGCAGCUUUCCAUAUUUUC